CGUAGGGUGCGAGCGUUAGUCGGAAUUACUGGGCGUAAAGCGUGCGCAGGCGGUGAUGUAAGACAGUUGUGAAAUCCCCGGGCUCAACCUGGGAACUGCAUCUGUGACUGCAUCGCUGGAGUGCGGCAGAGGGGGAUGGAAUUCCGCGUGUAGCAGUGAAAUGCGUAGAUAUGCGGAGGAACACCGAUGGCGAAGGCAAUCCCCUGGGCCUGCACUGACGCUCAUGCACGAAAGCGUGGGGAGCAAACAGGAUUAGAUACCCUGGUAGUCCACGCCCUAAACGAUGUCAACUGGUUGUUGGGUCUUCACUGACUCAGUAACGAAGCUAACGCGUGAAGUUGACCGCCUGGGGAGUACGGCCGCAAGGUUG
rnacentral:rRNA from 1 species